GCGUGGGGGCGUGGAGGCGUGGGGGCGGGGGGAGUGAGCGGAACCAAAGAAGCUCCGGGAGAUCCGGGUGUUAAAAGCUGGUUGGAUGUGAGUGGAAGGAACUCAGAAUAUAGGAGGAAGGAGACCCGAAACGGCACCGGAGGGAUUAUAAAAAAAAGGAAAAGAAUGGGGAUGAUGGUGGCCUUCCCUUCAGUGAGUGGGCUCUGGGAGAAAGGGAGGAGGAUCCAUCAGGCCUAGGCGGUUGAAGAAGGUUAAGAACCUUUUGGAGAUGGAGGAGGUAUGAUGUGAAGUAGCCCACCCCGUCGAAGGCAUUUACAUUGCUGGCGCAUUCCCUCCUCUUACCGGCCUUUUCCACCUCAGAUCCCCCUGUCCUACCCAUCCUAGCUUUAACUCAGCCAUAAUUGCCUUGCUUAAUCCCAGGAACCUGGCCACUGCUCCUUGGUCCUUGGCAUUAUGACGGGAUUCCCUUGUCACCUCUGACAGUUCCUGGCUGCGGUGUCCGCGGACUGGCUGGGGAGUGAUGACAGGUAGCCAUCAGAGCUCCAGCCUCCAGGCAGCUUUAGGGAUUAAAACGGAGGCCAAAGCAACUCCAGACCUGUUUUUAUAGCCAAAUACUGAGCCUCAGUGGUUGUACACUCAGGGGCUUCCAGGAAAAUGCCAGCCUUACUUUUCUGGGGUGCCUUUUAAUAACCUCCAAGCACUUUAUGGACUGUUUGUCGAGGGACGGUGAAUCAGGAGAAUCACUAUUCUGAUUUCCUUUGUCUCCGAAGAGGAAGUCCCUGACUAGCUAUAUAACUUUGGGCAAGUUACCUCUCACCUCUUUGUGCCCCAGUGUUCUCCUUGGGAAACUGGAUUUAGGUUAGAUGAUCUUUUAAGGCUCCUUGUAUGAUAUUUUGUGAUCUGUGCAUGGCAGAGUAUAGAUUAGAAGCCACAUUUUCCAACCUAGUGCUAUAGUUCAGAAUACAUAGCACCCCAAGCGUCUGGCUGGAGCCGAGGAUGGGUCCUCCAGUUUUUGGCACAGAUGUUCCGGAGCCCAGGAAGCAUCCCAUAACCAACCUUCAGCCCCACCGCCACCCCCAGCGUAUUCCAGAGCCGCUUCCAAACCACAGCCUAUCCUCUGCUCCAUUUCGCUCUUGCCCUCACAGACUUGCAGCCUCCAUGCUCUGAGACAACUGUGCGUAGGUACAUCUCUGUUGGUGAAAAUGAUGCUUAAGAACCCCAAAGAUUAAAGGAAACAAUGUUAAGGGCUUUUGUGAGGAUAAAAGAUAAUGGGUAUAUGGAAUAGAAACAUUUCAAAUGAAGAAUCAAAGCAUUUCAAUCAAUCCACUUGGUUGUAAAAAAAAAAACAAACAAACAAAAACAAAAAAACACCAAAGCAACUUGAAUAGUAAAUGGCACCAGAAGAUGGCGGUCUGCUCCAUAACCAGAGCAAGUGCAGUGGGAAAGCUGGACUCUCAUACCCACUCACAUUCAUGCCUUAUAUAAGCCUCUCCUCCUGGUUAACCUUAGCAGGGGAGUGAUUCCUCUGCUGGUUGCUGUUUUUCCUUUUCUCUUACCCUAUUCCUAACCUCUUUGCUUCUCUCUUUCUUUCCUUGUGUCUCUUCCUUCUCUUUUCUUUUUUCUUUUAACAUAUAGGGUAUUUUUUUCUUUUAACAUAUAGGGUAUUUGCCUUCAUUUUGUUUAUUUCCAUUUGUUUCCUUCUUCAUUCAUGUUCAUCUCUGCUAUUCCUUCUCCCUCCAGAAGGGAUGGAAACCCUAUUUUCUUUUCUCCAAGACCAUGGUUGGUCUGCUUCCCUCACUCGGGCUCCUUGACAGUCUUCUAGAAGAGAGGAGGAGGAAAAGAAGCAGUUCCUGAUGUUACAAAUGAACAAGGAUCUCCCAGAAAACAGGAAGAAUGUCAUGCACCGUGUGGAUCACCUUCAGUUCAAAGUUGCAGCAAAGUGAAGAAACUACUGGAAGCCACCCAGCAAUGCACUGUUUAGUCAUCAAUUAGGAGCCCAUGGGAGGAUAAUAGGGAGACUGGGUGGAGGCUCAGUGUGUAAUAAUCUCUUGUCUAAUGUAUGUGUGUCACUGCCAUGUUGUAUGAACAAUAGUGAGGGCUCACAUUUACUUAACACUUGUGUACUCAAAUCUGGGUUUUUCUUUCUUUCCAGAACUAUGACUCAAUCAUAAAAUCUGUUUUGUUUGCAUGCAUGCCCAAAACAACCCUAUAGGUAGAACAUUAUCAUUAUCUCUGUUUUAGAGAUGAGGAAACAGGCUCAGAGAAGCUCAGAAAUUUGUUCAAGAUCGCACAGCUAGUAAAUGGCAGAAGUAGGAUUGUGAACCCAGGGAAUCUCCAGAGCCUCUGUGUAACCAUGAUAUUAUAUUUUUUUCCUCUUUAAAAACAAAAUUAAAAACCUUGCUAUAAUCUCUUAUUAGGAAAAGAUCAUAGUUUCUGAUUGUGCUCUGCCUUCCCAUCCUGCCAAUCUCCUGGACUGGGUUGGAGAAGACAGGGGGCCCCCGAGCUUCAUCUGUGACUCAAAGGAGUUUGCUGCUGUCUCCUGUGUCAGUGUCCCAUCUAUGCAGGAUCAGCACAGGACCCCCCUCGCCUUCCUACUUACACUCUAGCCUUUCCAUACAUUGGCAUUCUCUCCUGGCCCUAGCCAGCGCUCCACACCUGUUGGUGUGCCACCUCCCUCCCUCUUCCCCCACUGGCCUUGAACAGGCAAACCCCCUAAUGUUGCCACUAGGUUGGGUCCAUGACUAGGACACCUGCUAGACGGUCUGUGCUUGGGCCUUUUCUAGGAAUCCUGAUGUUACUGGGUAAGUGCCAACUCUGUGGGCAGAAUGCUAAUGAUAAUCCUGUUCCCUAACCUCUUUCUCAGAAGUACCCUGGCUCACUCUCCCCAAUCUCAGCUUUAUAGAACAACAUUUUGGUCUUGAUUAUUCCCAUAUCAAGCUGCCCCAGGGCUUCGGUAAGCUGUUAGUUGCCCCACUGCCUCAAGGCUGGGUCUGGCUGAGCUACUUUCUUAUGCACACAAAUAAUGGGUGUCUCCUUGGAACCUGACACAAAACUAUCAGUGCUACCAAGCCUUGUAAAAUAGGGAAGAAACUAAUAUUUCUUGAGUGGCUUCUGAGUGCCUGGUGCUUUCACGGCUCUCUGGAGAGAUUCCUUGCCCUGAUGCCUUUGGUGUGUACUCCUCUCCCAGGACUUCAGCACUGAGAUUUUCCCAACCCCCUGGCUUUUCCUCACCUUGGGUUGAGUUGAUCCGGCACUACCACAAACCCCAGCAUCUGCAAACCAACCAAGAUUAGGCAGUAUGCCCUUUCCGUCUUGCACUGCUCUUCCAAAACUUCCAUCUGUAUUUCUCACACCCUCAGUAAGCAAAGCUGAGUGUGCGUAGACAGAGCUGCAUCCACUGCUUUCUCCCAACGGGUGCAGUCUAAUCUGACACGGGGAACACUAGGAGUUUAGCGGAAUCUUCAGCCACCCUAUUAAUGUGUUACGCAUUAGGCAUUGUAGUGGAAACUACUCUGACGGCUCAUGAUUAUAUGAACAGGAGCAAUUUGGAAUAUAACAUGUCAGCCGUGGACUGGGAGGUGCCGUAAGAGAAAACACUACCAGGGUCAUAGGCUUGGGUCCUUGAGGCAACCUAGCAGGGACGCUGUUGCCCAUUCCUCUCAUCCAGACUGCAGGUAUCUUCCUACACCUCCCUGUCCCAUAGCCUCCGUCCUGUUUUUUGUUUGUUUGUUUUUCUUUGUGAAUGUAGAAAAACAUUUCAUCAUGAGCCCUAGCUCCUCAGUUUUCCACCUAACACCCACAUUCCCUUGUUUCUAACUGCCGUGUUUUUCUGGAGCCUGCUGGGAUCUUUGCAGUUUGCAGAUCAUAGAAUCAGACAUGAAAAGGCUUCUCUUCAGACGUCAUUGGUUCCUGGCUCCUUUACAGAUGAGAACACAGGCCCAGAGGCAUAAAGAGAAACAAAAGACAAUGAUGGUAUUCUCUGUGUCCUCAGCUUUGGCACUUUUGUUGAUGUUGCUAAGGAGCAGUGACCUUGCUAAAAAGACUGAAUAAUCCACCCACUGAAUAGCUAACCUGGGAAGGAAAUGAAAAUUUCCUAUGUGGAUCUCCCCAAAUCCAUUGUUGUCACCAGGCCCUCCCAGAGCCUCCUCAGUUCCUUCACAGUGCAACCCUGUGUACUUGGCCCGCAACCCAAUAGUAUUGUGCCUCACUUCGCCUUCCAUGGGCAACUGCCCUCCCUUCUGGACAUAAAACCUCAUAUUUUAAAUAAAGUUGAAAUAUGAAAAGAAA